rnacentral:rRNA from 1 species
GUAGGUGGCAAGCGUUGUCCGGAAUUAUUGGGCGUAAAGCGCGCGCAGGCGGGUCCUUUAAGUCUGAUGUGAAAGCCCACGGGCUCAACCGUGGAGGGUCAUUGGAAACUGGGGGACUUGAGUACAGAAGAGGAAAGCGGAAUUCCAAGUGUAGCGGUGAAAUGCGCAGAGAUUUGGAGGAACACCAGUGGCGAAGGCGGCUUUCUGGUCUGUAACUGACGCUGAGGCGCGAAAGCGUGGGGAGCAAACAGGAUUAGAUACCCUGGUAGUCCACGCCGUAAACGAUGAGUGCUAAGUGUUAGGGGGUUUCCGCCCCUUAGUGCUGCAGCUAACGCAUUAAGCACUCCGCCUGGGGAGUACGGCCGCAAGGCUG